CCCUCAAUCAUGAUAAUAUAUGUGAAUCAUUACUUUCAAAUCCACCUUCAUAUAAAAUAAAAAAAAAUAUAAUCCGUAAUAAAUUUAUUUAUUGUAACCCAUCUCUUCUUGUUUAUAAACUGCACCUUGAUCUGAUUUAAUUCAAAAUAAUGAAUCAUGAAUAUUAAACAUUCUAAUAAAAUACUCAACUACGACGAUAUACAAGUUAAUUAAAACAAGUUAAAUUUUAAUCGUGUACUAUCAAUUACAGAACAGGUUCCUCUGAAUAGACUAAAUUACCGCCAAAAUUUUUAACUUUAAAGUCCAUAACUAAUACUAAUUUAGUGUAAAUAUUUAACAUUUCU
rnacentral:rRNA from 1 species